rnacentral:rRNA from 1 species
GAUGAACGCUAGCUACAGGCUUUAACACAUGCAAGUCGAGGGGUUUUUUGAUUAGAAGCUUGCUUUUGGUUAAAGACGACCGGCGCACGGGUGAGUAACGCGUAUCCAACCUGCCCUUCAUAUUGGGAUAGCCUCUCGAAAGGGAGAUUAAUACCGAAUAACAUGAAAGAGUUGCCUGAUUUUUUCAUGAAAGCUCCGGCGAUGAAGGAUGGGGAUGCGUUCCAUUAGGUAGUAGGCGGGGUAACGGCCCACCUAGCCUACGAUGGAUAGGGGUUCUGAGAGGAAGGUCCCCCACACUGGAACUGAGACACGGUCCAGACUCCUACGGGAGGCAGCAGUGAGGAAUAUUGGUCAAUGGGCGGAAGCCUGAACCAGCCAAGUAGCGUGAAGGAUUACAGCCCUACGGGUUUUAAACUUCUUUUAUAUAAGAGUAAUGUGCACUACGUGUAGUGUAUUGCAAGUAUUAUAUGAAUAAGCAUCGGCUAACUCCGUG